rnacentral:lncRNA from 10 species
GGUCUUGUUUAGGUAAAAGACUUCAGUGGCAGACAAAGGAGGAGUAAUAAGAUCGCUAGGGGGCCCGUGCCCAGCCCACCCACGCACAAUCUCAGUCCUCGCAAUACCCACAAGGAGAAAUUCUCAGCCUCGGGGAAGAGUAUUUCUUGAUGAGGGAAGAGCGCGGGGAAGACACUCACGCACGCACAAACAUGUGGGCGGCCAUGGUGUGCCCAGCGCCGUGCUGGCUUCUGGGAACCCCCAGUGGACAAGACGGACAAGGUACCGGCUCUCAGGGGAAGUGGGAGCCAGUCACAAGCGUACCUAAUUUCGGAGAGUGACAAGUACUCUGAAAAAGAAAGAAGGUAGGGCUGGUGACUGGCCAAUUUAAGCGGGCAGGAGUCUGCUGGGGGACGGAGACCAGCCUCAGGUCUGGGUUGGGGACAGAAGCUGUGCCUAAGUGUGGUGCAGGAUGCAGUUGCAAAGGAGCGCUUCCGAUCGCACUUGAUGCUCGCCACGUCCCUGCAAAGUGCUCCCGCCCCCUUUCUGCAAAUGAGGAAACGGGACGCGCGGCUCGCCGGGCCAGCCCGCGUGCCUGCGCAGUCCCCUCCCCGAGAACCAUCCCCUUGCCCCGCCCAGCGUCAGGGGUGCGCGGCCGCCGAGAGACCCCGGAGGCGUAGCCGGCUGCGGAGGCGAAGAGGUGGCAGCGCGAGCUGGGACCAGCGUCUCGGA